AGAUUGAACGCUAGCGGGAUGCUUUACACAUGCAAGUCGAACGGCAGCGCGGACUUCGGUCUGGCGGCGAGUGGCGAACGGGUGAGUAAUAUAUCGGAACGUGCCCAGUAGCGGGGGAUAACUACGCGAAAGCGUGGCUAAUACCGCAUACGCCCUACGGGGGAAAGGGGGGAGUUCUUCGGAACCUCUCACUAUUGGAGCGCCGAUAUCAGAUUAGCUAGUUGGUGAGGUAAAGGCUCACCAAGGCGACGAUCUGUAGCUGGUUUGAGAGGACGACCAGCCACACUGGGACUGAGACACGGCCCAGACUCCUACGGGAGGCAGCAGUGGGAAUUUUGGACAAUGGGGGAAACCUGAUCCAGCCAUCCCGCGUGUGCGAUGAAGGCCU
rnacentral:rRNA from 1 species